UUUGAUUGGAAGUUGCUGUGCUGCCGUUCAACCACCGUUCUGUUUCUGUUCAACCAUCUCUGUUGCAUUUCAAAGCUCCAGCUCCCUCUCCCUGUUCUGUUCGAAUUUCAGAACAUGCUCCAGCCUAAGAAAGAGAAUGGAAUUGAGGUAUAUCAAUUUACAGGUAACUAUAAAUUGAAAAGAGGACACUCACUGGGCAGAGCUCCUUUGUUACUUCAUUAAAUGUUUUUUUGGGUUUCUGAUGCAAUACCUGAGAUUAAGAAUUGAAUGGAAGAUGAGCAAUAUUAACUUUCCUUUCGUUUGUUUGUUUGAAUAUGAAUUCAAGAUUCUGUAAAACUGACUUUUACUAGGAAUCCUACAGCUUGCUCAAUAUGUUUCAGUUCCUUUCAGGCUGAGCCAACAUACUGUGCAUGACAGAUUCAGGUUACGAUAUAAAUAUGGAAUAAAAGGAAUGGUCUCAAAUAGUUGAUUGGUGCUCACCUCAUCAGUGGCCUCAAUACACCAUCUCUCUAAUUCGCCUAAUCCUGCCUUUACA